UUGUUUGUUUUUCUUCCAAAUUUCAGCAGAAGAAAGAGCUGAGGCCACAGAGUUGUCAAGUCUUUAAAUCUCAGCUUCACCCUUGUGUUUCAAUUCAUGCUAAAGCCUCAACACCUUUGGCCAAAGUGGAGACUGCAUGUGGAGGCAGUGGGACCUUUUGGGCAUGGAAACAACAGAGGGACUUCCCGGGGAUCUCUGAGUGGGAGCUGUGGUUUGUGUCCAAUUGCUUCAAGAAUUCACUCUGGAUUUCAGUUGUUUCCUUUUCCUUGACUGAAUGCUUUGAACACACUCUCAAAUGAGGUACAGUAAU